rnacentral:rRNA from 1 species
AGAUAAAAGAAAUUAUAUUAAUUUAAAAAAAUAAUUUUUUGUUUAAGUAAAAUUAAAAAUAAAUAUUUUAUUUUCAUUUUUUUAAAAGUAUAAUCUUUUUUAUUAAAGUUUUUUUUUUAAUAUACCUUUUGUAUCAGGGAUAACCAAAUAUAAAAUAAUAAUUAUUUAUUCUCGAAUAAUUUAUAUAUAUAUAAUUAUUAAAAUUUUUGUUUUAUAAAAAUUUAUAAUUUUUUUUUAGAAUCUAAAUGUUUUCAUUAUGUUUUUAUCUAGUUAAUUUUAAAAUUAAUUUAAUUUAUUUUAAUUUAUAUUAAUUAAUAUUAAUUAUAUUUUAAAAAAAGAUUAUUUUAUUUAAGUAAAAUAAUAAAAAUCUAAAAGUAUUACAUUUAAUUUUUAUAAUAAAUUUUUAUAUAAAAAAUUAAUUUAAUUAUUUAUUUUUUUAUAAAAAAAAUUAAUUUUUUAACAAGUAUUAAAAACUUUAAAUGGAUUAUAUAAGUAAUUUUAAAAUUUAUAGUUAAAGGAAUUAGGCAAAUAAAAAAAUCAAAUGUUUAACAAAAACAUCUCUUUUUUAUUUUAUAAAAAGUAUUACCUACCCGGUGAGAAAUUAAACGGUUAUAUUUUACUAAGGUAGCGUAAUAAAUUGUCAUUUAAUUAAUGAAUACAAUGAAGGUUUAAUGAAUUUUUUACUGUCUUAAUAUAAAUAAUUAAAUUAAUUUUUUAGUAAAAAAGCUAAACUAGAUUUUUUAGACGAUAAGACCCUAUAGAACUUAUUUAAUAAUUAAAUUUACUGGGGAAGUAAAAAUAUAAAAAAAAUUAUUUUUUUUAUAAAAACUAAUAGUUUUAUUUUUAAUUGUAAAUCCAAAACAUAAGAAAUUGAUUAAAAAGUUACCUUAGGGAUAACAGCAUAAAAAUAUAAAAAGUCCUUAUUUUAAUAUUUUUUUUAUGACCUCGAUGUUGAAUUAAGAUAAUUUAUGAAGUAAAAGUUAUGAAUUUUAGGUCUGUUCGACCUAAAAAUCUUACAUGAUUUGAGUUCAAACCGACGUAAGUUAGGUUGGUUUCUAUCUAAAAUUUAUUAAUUUAUUUUAGUACGAAAGGACCAUAUAAAUUAAAUUAUUUAUAGUAAUUUUUAUAUAA